UGGGGAAUUUUGCGCAAUGGACGAAAGUCUGACGCAGCAACGCCGCGUGGAGGAUGAAGCUCUUUGGAGUGUAAACUUCUGUUGAUUGGGAAAAAAAAAUAGUAGCUAAUACCUGCUAUUAUGAUGUUACUAAUAUAGAAAGCACCGGCUAAUCUCGUGCCAGCAGCCGCGGUAAUACGAGAGGUGCAAGCGUUAUUCGGAAUUAUUGGGCGUAAAGGGCGCGUAGGCGGCUUUGUAAGUUUGUUGUUUAAGACUCUGGCCUAACCGGAGAAAAGCAAUAAAUACUGCAUUGCUAGAGUAUAAUAGAGAGAAGUGGAAUUUUCGGAGUAGCGGUUAAAUGCGUAGAUCUCGAAAGGAACGCCAAUGGCGAAGGCAGCUUCUUGGGUUAUUACUGACGCUG
rnacentral:rRNA from 1 species